AAAUUGAGGACCUAGAGUUUUGGAUUGGGUUGGCACAUGAGAAACUCAUGAAAGCUUUCCAUGAAGAAAGCAUCAUAUCAAACAUGCAAAUUCUUCAGUGCAAGCCAGAUAGUCUGGCCACUCUGGGACUUUUUGCAUACCUUGGGCGAAGAACAAGAAUAUUUUUGUCAGCAGUGGGCAUUAAAGAUCUUGAUGACAUGGUUCAGGAUUUUCUCAGUUACCUGGAAUGUGGCUGCAUUUUCAUUUAUCCUGAGUUUUCCUCCAUUCCCGUGUAUCAGCUUUUCGUGGAGGUUAGUUUCUGUUAGUUCUGCUGAAUGCCGAUGUUAACUGGCUCUUUUAUGUUGAUAUUGAAACACUCAUCCUAAUCUAUUUUCAUAUUUCAGUUGGUAACUGAUGAAAUUGGAUGGCUUGAUUUUUAUGCCUCAUAUGCUCAAAUAAACUGUCAAGAGAAAAGGUCCAAGCCUCAUGCUCGCCAGGCAGAGAAAGAGAUUAUUUUAUAUGUAGUUUUUACUGUGUGCUAUGAUAUUUUCUCUGGCUUUGCUCACUUCAAUCGCUCUACUCAGCAGCCACUGGAGACAAAUUUGUUAU